GACGAACGCUGGCGGCGUGCUUAACACAUGCAAGUAGAACGAGACGAUUGAAGCUUGCUUUCGAAAGUCGAGUGGCAAACGGGUGAGUAACGCGUAGACAACCUGCCUUUGAGAUGGGGACAACAGUUCGAAAGGACUGCUAAUACCGAAUGUUGUAUAUUUUCCACAUGGAAGAUAUAUUAAAGAUGGCCUCUAUUUAUAAGCUAUCGCUCAAAGAUGGGUCUGCGUCUGAUUAGCUGGUUGGUGGGGUAACGGCCUACCAAGGCGACGAUCAGUAGCCGGUCUGAGAGGAUGAACGGCCACAUUGGGACUGAGACACGGCCCAGACUCCUACGGGAGGCAGCAGUGGGGAAUCUUCCACAAUGGACGAAAGUCUGAUGGAGCAACGCCGCGUGAGUGAAGAAGGGUUUCGGCUCGUAAAGCUCUGUUGUCGGGGACGAAUGUGCAGUAUUUGAAUAAAGUACUGUAAUGACGGUACCUGACGAGGAAGCCACGGCUAACUACGUGCCAGCAGCCGCCGUAA
rnacentral:rRNA from 1 species